rnacentral:rRNA from 1 species
CCUACGGGGGGCAGCAGUGAGGAAUAUUGGUCAAUGGACGAGAGUCUGAACCAGCCAAGUAGCGUGAAGGAUGACUGCCCUAUGGGUUGUAAACUUCUUUUAUAUGGGAAUAAAAUGUUCCACGUGUGGGAUUUUGUAUGUACCAUAUGAAUAAGGAUCGGCUAACUCCGUGCCAGCAGCCGCGGUAAUACGGAGGAUCCGAGCGUUAUCCGGAUUUAUUGGGUUUAAAGGGAGCGUAGGUGGAUUGUUAAGUCAGUUGUGAAAGUUUGCGGCUCAACCGUAAAAUUACAGUUGAAACUGGCAGUCUUGAGUACAGUAGAGGUGGGCGGAAUUCGUGGUGUAGCGGUGAAAUGCUUAGAUAUCACGAAGAACUCCGAUUGCGAAGGCAGUUCACUGGACUGCAACUGACACUGAGGCUCGAAAGUGUGGGUAUCAAACAGGAUUAGAUACCCCAGUAGUC